AGCUUGCUUCUCUUGAGAGCGGCGGACGGGUGAGUAAUGCCUAGGAAUCUGCCUGGUAGUGGGGGAUAACGUUCGGAAACGGACGCUAAUACCGCAUACGUCCUACGGGAGAAAGCAGGGGACCUUCGGGCCUUGCGCUAUCAGAUGAGCCUAGGUCGGAUUAGCUAGUUGGUGAGGUAAUGGCUCACCAAGGCGACGAUCCGUAACUGGUCUGAGAGGAUGAUCAGUCACACUGGAACUGAGACACGGUCCAGACUCCUACGGGAGGCAGCAGUGGGGAAUAUUGGACAAUGGGCGAAAGCCUGAUCCAGCCAUGCCGCGUGUGUGAAGAAGGUCUUCGGAUUGUAAAGCACUUUAAGUUGGGAGGAAGGGCAGUUACCUAAUACGUGAUUGUUUUGACGUUACCGACAGAAUAAGCACCGGCUAACUCUGUGCCAGCAGCCGCGGUAAUACAGAGGGUGCAAGCGUUAAUCGGAAUUACUGGGCGUAAAGCGCGCGUAGGUGGUUUGUUAAGUUGGAUGUGAAAUCCCCGGGCUCAACCUGGGAACUGCAUUCAAAACUGACUGACUAGAGUAUGGUAGAGGGUGGUGGAAUUUCCUGUGUAGCGGUGAAAUGCGUAGAUAUAGGAAGGAACACCAGUGGCGAAGGCG
rnacentral:rRNA from 1 species